UGCUCUUGUAGUGAUCAGAACAAACACUAAUCCCCACAACUAACAUCCAACAUCUGGUGGAAGCCUUCACAGAAGAGAGGAGAUGAGUGGAGCCGAUUAUUCUAACAACAAACACAUCGGGAAUAAAUCAGGAAUGUGAUGUUCAACAAACAAUUAUGGGUGUGGUAAUCAGGGGUGCACAUACUUUUGUUCACUCUAAAUUUGAACUUUCAAAUUCUUCAGAAUUCAGUGACUGUUCCUCCACCCAUGUCCUCACAGAGCACUGUGAGAACUUUUAUACACUUUUCUGGCAACAAGCUUCAUAAUCAGUCUCUCUCUGUGGACUUCUGUGUGUUCACACACUUCUGUACACUGGUUUGUAGCGGGAAAGCAAACAUUAGAACUCAGUGAGACAGCAAGUUGUUAUCACUGGACUGGAAAAUAAAAUCAUUUGAAACUGAAGCUAGCAGCCUCGGCAUAGUCAUGAGGAGAUGUUCUGCUGGCUUCCACAUGUGACACGACCAAGAUUCUAGCUGGCUGAAGAAACAUAUCGAUACUCUUGCAAAAGCGAGACAUCUGUCUCACAAAGACUAGGACUUGGACUAGAUCUGUGUUUUAGAGACAUGGACUUUGCUCUGAAAGCAGCUGACUUGAAGUUCCACUUGGACUUGAGACUUGCGUGCAAUAGAUAAAUGGAUGGACGGACGGAUGGACGGAUAAAUGGAUGGAUGGACAGAUGGAUGAAUGGACAGACGGACAGAUGGAUAUUGUGCUGUUUAUGCUUGUCUCAAAGGCACUUCGGAAGAAAAUCAGAGGCAGCUGUGUAACAUUAGAGUUGAAAUUCAUUGCACAUCGCUGCCAGGUAUCGACUCCAGGCUCCAGAAUCCAGACUCGGUCCUCUGGCAUCCUCAGAGCACAUUAAAUGUCAGUAAUUUGUCAAAGAGACUGUAAAAAGCACUGAAUCACGUGACUUCAGCAGGAAAACAGCAGCUUUUUGUGCAUUUUUGUGAAUUUUGUGCAGCUGAAAAUCAGAUUCUGAGACUAGUAAAUAUUCCAUUUCAACAAAUUCACCGUCUCCUACAGUACAGAUGCUGCAACCUGUCGAUUCCUCCGUUUUCUGUCCUCCAGAUCCUGAAACUCAGAGCUCAAAGAUCAUCCAGAGUCUCACACUCAUAAUUACGACUUUAUGGUGGCCUUCAACUCGUAAAUCCCAUCUUUCCAUCAUGGCUUCUUUCCUGUUGUUUCUCUCUCUCCUGGUGAAUUCUUCUUCUAGGAUUUGUCUUUUCUUUUUAGCACUUUCUUUUACAGACUUGCGUGCAAUAGUUGGAUGGAUGGAUGGAUGGAUGGAUGGAUGGACAGACAGAUAAAUGAAUGGAUGGAUGGAUGGAUGGAUGGAUAGAUGGAUGGAUAAACAGAUAGAUAGAUGGACGGAUAAAUGGAUGGAUGGACAGACAGAUAAAUGGAUGGACAUA